rnacentral:tRNA from 1 species
GAAGAUGUGACCUAGUGGUUAAGGCGACUGACUAGAAAUUAGUUUCCCUCUGGGAGCGUAGGUCGAAUCCUACCAUCUGCG